rnacentral:misc_RNA from 1 species
GAUGAAGAACGUAGCGAAAUGCGAUAAUUAAUGUGAAUUGCAGAAUUCAGUGAAUCAUCGAAUCUUUGAACGCACAUUGCGCCCGCCAGUAUUCUGGCGGGCAUGCCUGUCUGAGCGUCAUUUCAACCCUCAUGCCCCUAGGGCGUGGUGUUGGGGAUCGGCCAAAGCCCGCGAGGGACGGCCGGCCCCUAAAUCUAGUGGCGGACCCGUCGUGGCCUCCUCUGCGAAGUAGUGAUAUUCCGCAUCGGAGAGCGAUGAGCCCCUGCCGUUAAACCCCCAACUUUCCAAGGUUGACCUCAGAUCAGGUAGGAAUACCCGCUGAACUUAAGCAUAUCAAUAAGCGGAGGA